rnacentral:rRNA from 1 species
AUGUCCGAUCCGGAGAAGGCUCCUCGUUCCCUCGUCUAUCCAUCAGAGUGGGAUGCCAUGACCGCAGAUGAGCAGAUGUUGUGGUUUCUCAAGCAUCUAUCGGCACAGAUGGAUAGUAUGAAGUCCAAGCUCGCGGCUGCACGCGUGGGCGCGGGCGAUCCGGCAGAGGCCACCUCGCGUGUCAAUCCGGUUGCCUCCCCUGCUACUGCUUCGGCUACCUCAACCUCUGCCCUGGUCGCGUCUCACACCGACCGCGCAACCACGGCUGCUCCACCCACCAUCGCCGAGGAGGUCCACUGCACCGCCACCGCAUUCGACCCCAAUCCCGCGAUCGGCACCAACAACGCCAUAGCCACCCUUCGAACGAACGGAGUGGAAAUUCAGGAGGAGAACCAGGUGGUGGCAACAGCAAUUCAGGCUGUUAGCAUCAACAUCGGCGGCAAGUUCACUACUCCCGCACCUCCACUGGUGGCGUCCUCUCCAGAAGUCUCCACCGAGCCUGCUGUCCUUCCCGACGUUUCCUCGUCAACUGGACAGGCUGAGGAGAUCCUCCAUCAUGUGUCUUCUGAUUACAUCGCUACGACGCUCAUGACCUGUUCGACAGAAUGCUCGAAAAAAUUCAGUGCCAUGUCAUUCUUGUCUCCAGUCAUGACGACGUCGCUACCCCCAGCAGCCACACUUGUGCUCGUCGCCGACCUCAUUCACCCUGCUACCAACGAUGGUUCUAACCGGCGGGUGCCCCUGGACAUGGAAGACGAGCUCCUGACCAGUCUAUCUCCUCUGUCGUUCUCAAUUGUAGAUUCAACGCAGUCGUUUCUGAACCAGGACAGGGACGUCCCGUUUCCGACAAGGCACGAGGGGCUGCUGAUACGACCGACUCCGUGGCCAUCAUUUCAGAUGCAUUUUGCUGACGGCAAUGAUGUAAGGCCCGUGCCGUGGCCGUCGUUUGCUGGUUCUCUUGAAGGCACGACUCUGAAUUAUGAAGGGCUGUUGUUGCAAGUUACUUAUGUGGUGCAGCGUUUGCCGGUUGCUUUGAAUUUUUUGAGAGAAUACUGGAGGUAUCUACCAAGUGUGCGACUGAAAUCUUGUCCCUAUGAGAAGCUUGCUGGUUGGACCCCUAUGCUGCCAAAAGCAAUUCCCCUUCGGAAUCAGCAGAUAAUCCAAUCACUGGGUGAGGUGAAUUGGGGCGUUGUGGAGUGGUGGUCAGUGAUCUCUUUUGUACAGUCAUUUGCUCCUACUAUUCAUGUGUCCUGUAUAGUCUUCUCUAGCCAUGAGUCGACGAGGAAGCCUAUGCUACCCUGGAGGCUUGUCGUUCAUAUUGUGGCCAUGGAGGACGAGCUCCUCACCACUCUAUCUCUGAUAUUCUCAGCUGUCUAUUCAAAGCAGCCAUUCCUGAGCCAUGAUUUGGACGUUUCGCCGCGUACAAGGCACCAGGGGCUGCUGCUACAGCCGAUGUCGUGGCCAUCAUAUUGGGCAGCUCUUAUUGCAGAGGGAAUGGAAACCCGACCCAUUCCAUGGCCGCCGUUUGCAAUCGGUUUGCCAUCAAAAGUCUGCUGUUCUAGUGUUGUCCAUUGGAACUUCUCGGUGAUUGCUUCUGUUCAUGACCUUCAUACCUGGACAUUCAGGGCACAUCGGUUUUUGUCUGUCCAAGUGUGUGGCAUUGGCUUGACUAGCAGAUCUAAUCCAAAGAAACUAUUUCAUAUUGGAGCUUGUGUGUACAAUACAUGGCAACGGUGGUACAAUCUCAGUGGUUGUUUUGCUCUAGAAUGCAGUUCUGAACAAUAUGGUACACAGUGGCAGUCUUGGCGUAUACUGGAUCAGGCAACAUCUGAAUUUAAACACUUAAGUCAAAAAUGUUGCAGCCAAAUGGUGGUGCAGGAAACAUUGUAUCUCGGAAAACUUUCUACACAUGCAAGUUAUCUUAGCUGUUUUGGGCCAGAAGCAAUUCACUGGGAGCUAGUGAACUACAAGGGCAUACAAUUUUAUCCUUGCUGCAUAGGGCACUCACAGGAAGAUUCUGAAUUUGGAGUACAUCAUGUAUACAUGAGCACUAGUACGACACUGCUGUUGUUGCUGUUUAACUGGCAUUUAUUUCCAUAUACAAAGUUCCUUGUUGGAAAAAUGGCAGCAUUUAGGAAUUCAAGUGCAGUCAAGACCUCUGGGAACUCCAGUCAUCAACACUACUUUAAUGAAUGUGUGAAGUUAUGGCCUUCUGCUGCUGGAACUAACGAGAAGAUACUUGGUCAGAGGAGUUGGCAGUCUCGCUGCAAUGUCAAUAUGGCCUUUCUCACAUCUCCAAACCUGUAUAGACUGCGAGUGCUGGGGUGUAAUAGUUCGGCUGCUCCUGGGUUUCUUCAUACAUCCAUUGGUUUUUGGUUGGGGGAGCAACAUUUGUCAUUUCCUGAACUUGAUGCAGACGCAUGCAAGCAUGAACACAUACAUGCUGCAAGUGAGGGAGAUCCAGGAUGGUACUCUUUAUUCUGUGAUUGCUCCUUUGAUCUUACCAAGGCUCCGGUUGUUCUUUCGGUCAACUACCCUGCCGACGAAAUACUCAGCAAGAGAUCACAGGACAUGAGCUGUAUGGCAUCCUCUACAUGCUACAAUCAGGAUCAUUUUCAAGAAGGGAGGGGUGUCAUUGCAUUUGCCGACGUAUUCACGCAAGGCUGCUUCGGCUACAGGCACUACAUCGGCUUCGACUGUGAUGGCUACUUCUCCGUCGCAUUUCCCUCCAAGGUCAUCAACCACAACACCAACUUCAAUCGGGUCUCUGUCGGCCACGACUACUACUACCUCAAGCCCGACAACUUCUCCGAGCUUGUUCAAGUCCAUCUCGACCAUGGCUGCUACCGCGACAACUACCAUGGGGAUUCCGGCAUGAUUAAGGAUCUCCAAGCACCAUGGGAUCCUGGCAAAAUCUUCGUGAUAGCGGCUUGGGGGCAAGCCGCAUUUCAAGAAGGGAGGGAUGUUAGGGACCUCCCCUGGCCCAUACUCAUACCUGGGCUUUCCCCUUUGAUAGCUCAUGGGCCGGGCCCGUCUAUGCUCACCACUCGGCAACAGCCUACAAGUACUCGGAAGCAGGCAACGAGCACGGCAUCCAGUGGAUCACGAAACCCGGCGGCGGCGGCUAUCUUCUUCCCCUUCCUCCUCCUUCCCCAAUUCUUGUAUCCUGUGAUUGUAAUCCCUAAAUUGCUACACGAAUUCGUGAGAAGAGUACUAGAUCGAGAGAAGAUAUUGUUAAAAUACGUGUGGACAUUAUAA